rnacentral:lncRNA from 10 species
UUACAUGUGUUUUUUUUGGAGUACUGGAACUAAUAAAUUUGGACUUUGUUCUGCAGGUAGUUUAGUUACUUACAGAUCAGCUUUAUACUAUUGAGGCUUGUUUUUAAGCUUUUUGUGGGGGUGAGGAGCAAGUGUAGUGUAGUUUUUAGUCAGGAUAGUUUAGCCCUACGUAUGUAACACACAACCUUUCUGGGAUCUUUAGCGAAUGCCUGGUUUUCAGUCAGGACUCUCCACUGUGGCUGGAUGGAAAUUAGAUAUUUCCCAAUCUCACGCUAAUUUUGAGAAUUGUUAGGCUUAGUGUUCCGCAAUGUACACAAUGGGGUCUCUACAUAGAUUUCUGGAUUUUUUUGUCUACCUUCCUCCUUGUUGAUACUUUGUCCUGAAAAUUCAAGCUAUCUCAGUAUCAACUCCAAUCUUCCUCUCCUCAACUCAGCAAGACUCUGAUCUCCUGCGAUGGGAUGUUGGCCUCCGCGGCCCGUGCGAGUGCGCCCUUCUCGGGUCCCCUAGGUCGCGGGGCAGCCGGGGCGGAAGGGGCUUGUUCAUUAUUUUGAGAGUUUGUUGUGAACGUCAUAACCUUUCGUCCUUAAAUAUUGCCGAUACUUGACCUACGCAAGAGACAAUGUCAUGUGAUUCAGCCUAAUAUCUCAUCAGGAGGAUGCAGCAUUCAAGGUUCUAUCUUGGAAGCAGAGACUGUGCCCUCACCAGAUGCUGAACCUGCUGAGCACCCUGAUCUUCCACUUCACCUUCAUCAGAACUGACUGGGGCUGUGGCUGAGAUGUCACAUGGCAGAUAGGAUCACAAAUUUCUGUUGUAUCUGGAUGGAGAUCAGCAGGAGGAUCUAUGGGUGAGAAGAAGCACAGUUACAGAUGGAUUCUAGAGCCUGCUUGCUGACACAGGCUUGCAACUGCGGACUUUAUAAGCUUAGUUUUUAAUCUGCUAUCAGCUAGCAUAAUACCAUAAAUGCAUAAGAAACUAAGUAUUCAGUCUUACGAGAAAUGCUAUCUUGACCUGACCCUUUCUCCAAAUAAAUUGACAAAAUAUCUCAUCGUCUAGGAUGCCAGACAGAAAUACCAGUUGCAAUGUUUUGUUGCAUAAAGUUUAUCCUAAUUUAAAUUAGUGGCAUAUAAAGUCAUCAUCUUGCUUGAACAAACAUCUUAUUAAAUUGAGCAUGUCUUUUAUCCCAUGAAAUGAAAUUAAUUUUGAGAUAGUUAUUUUUCAGUUGGAAAUUUAUUGAGUUGAUAGAAAACAAGUUAUAUAGUCUUCCAAAGAAUAUGUUACAUCCAUUUGCAUUUUGUUUUUCUUCAGCAAUGUUUGGUUUUUAGAAAAUCUUACAAGUUAAAUAUACUAAUGUAGAAAUUGAAAGAAAAUAAUCAGAGAUAGAGCAAUAAAUUUGCAAAUAAAGAUUAUUCUUAAAAAGACUGCUGUGAUUGCACCUGCCAUCUUAUGCAGAAAUGACCUGAAGACAGACUGAAACAACGUGUUCUACAGCCUGAAAAUAUCUACCUUGACUUACAGUUUUAUUAAUGCUGGUGUGAUCAGACUGGACAAAAAUUAGCAUAUGUUAUUAACUGAUCUAAUUCAAGUGCCAAUUCUUAAUAGAAACACAAAACAAUAAAAGCAAUUCAGAAAAUA